GUCCAGGACUUGAACUGCAGUCAACUGCAUGGGAGUUCAGUGACAUUGCCAUUAUGCUAACUGCUGGUCCCAAUUAAGUUAUUUCUUAACUAUACCUGUGUUUAUACUCCUGUAGCAGCCAAGGAUGUUUGGCCUCAUACAU
rnacentral:snoRNA from 1 species